rnacentral:rRNA from 1 species
UACGUAGGGAGCAAGCGUUGUCCGGAAUCAUUGGGCGUAAAGCGCGCGUAGGCGGCCCCAUAAGUCCGCUGUGAAAGUCAAAGGCUCAACCUUUGAAAGCCGGUGGAUACUGUGGGGCUAGAGUACGGAAGAGGCGAGUGGAAUUCCUGGUGUAGCGGUGGAAUGCGCAGAUAUCAGGAGGAACACCAAUGGCGAAGGCAGCUCCGCUGGGACGGUACUGACGCUGAGACGCGAAACGUGGGGGAGCAAACAGG